rnacentral:rRNA from 1 species
GUGUCAGCCGCCGCGGUAAUACGGAGGGUGCAAGCGUUAUCCGGAUUCACUGGGUUUAAAGGGUGCGUAGGCGGCCUGUCAAGUCAGUGGUGAAAGCCCGCGGCUUAACCGUGGAAUUGCCAUUGAAACUGACUGGCUCGAGUGUGAUUGAAGUGGGCGGAAUACAUCAUGUAGCGGUGAAAUGCUUAGAUAUGAUGUAGAACACCGAUUGCGAAGGCAGCUCACUAAGUCACAACUGACGCUGAGGCACGAAAGCGUGGGGAUCAAACAGGAUUAGAUACCCCUGUAGUCC